rnacentral:lncRNA from 1 species
UCUGAAGAGGAAAGCCCCGCGAUCAUCCGGUUUCACUCCUGUUUUCAUCUACUCUUUUCCUCAGCGAAGCCUAUAUGGGUCCCAGAUGUCACAUCACAGCUACCGCAUUGGCGGGUUAAGAGCCGUUGACAAAUCUCUUUCGGGAAGGGAAGAAGAAUUCCAAACAAAAGAUCUACUACCCUGAGAAGCAGUGAAGUGCUCCUGGGGCCCAUCAAGGCCACACAAGUUAAGGAGUGGAUGGUCUUGCCCCAGCUAUGGCUCAGAUCACCUUUGCAGGAUGACAUUGUGUUGGGAGAUGGUCAUCAGAGCCAGGGCCAUGGAAGAUGCUGUCAGGAGGAG